rnacentral:rRNA from 1 species
UGGGGAAUUUUGGACAAUGGGGGAAACCCUGAUCCAGCCAUCCCGCGUGUGCGAUGAAGGCCUUCGGGUUGUAAAGCACUUUUGGCAGGAAAGAAACGUCGCGGGUUAAUACCCCGCGAAACUGACGGUACCUGCAGAAUAAGCACCGGCUAACUACGUGCCAGCAGCCGCGGUAAUACGUAGGGUGCAAGCGUUAAUCGGAAUUACUGGGCGUAAAGCGUGCGCAGGCGGUUCGGAAAGAAAGAUGUGAAAUCCCAGAGCUUAACUUUGGAACUGCAUUUUUAACUACCGGGCUAGAGUGUGUCAGAGGGAGGUGGAAUUCCGCGUGUAGCAGUGAAAUGCGUAGAUAUGCGGAGGAACACCGAUGGCGAAGGCAGCCUCCUGGGAUAACACUGACGCUCAUGCACGAAAGCGUGGGGAGCAAACAGGAUUAGAUACCCUGGGUAGUCCACGCCCUAAACGAUGUCAACUAGCUGUUGGGGCCUUCGGGCCUUGGUAGCGCAGCUAACGCGUGAAGUUGACCGCCUGGGGAGUACGGUCGCAAGAUU